rnacentral:lncRNA from 7 species
AAGGAACCACUAGAUGGAAAAUGGAAGAGUCAAGUUUGCUGCUGCUCCUUUUCCUCAUCAGUGCAUCUUAAACAGAGCACCUAUGACUGAGUUACCAAUUUAACCUCUUUAGUCUGAUUUCUUUUUUUCUUCCAAGAAAACUGACUGUAAAAAAAAAAAAAGCCUAAUGAGUGUGCUGCAAGGCCUGGACAGGUGUUGGAAAUCUAGGAUGCUGAAACAGCUUUGAAGCCCUGUGUUGUGCUACUGCUGAGACAGCAUGCUGUGUUUGGCAAACAGCUGAAUAAAGGAGGAGGUGAGGUUUAGCCUUGUUGUUUAUAUCAAACAAUGAGAUUGUAUGAUGUUCCACCAUCCUUGGUGUUAAGAUGGACAUGUUCUGCAGCUCAGGCUUUUCUAUGAUCUCAUGGACUCUACACAAGCUCUCUGCUAUGCUGGAUUUGAUUGCAUUUCAAAAGAAAGAGAAAAAUGAGUGGUUUAAAAAAAAAAAAUCCCCUCAAGGCUACAGCUCCUGAAGAGAUCCUUCAUUUUCAGAAAAGAUUAAUGAAGGCAACUUGUUUAAGUAAGAAAUCUAUUUCUUGCUUCUGAAGUAGAGUUCAAGUUAAGUGGCAGAAUUGUCAUUUUGUUUUGGCAUACGGAGAAAAGCUUUGCUAUACAUUGAACACAACAAUCUCAUUUUUGUUCCUUCCAACUUCUUAAAUAUGAAUUUCUGUCCUCCUCUGAAGUGGCAUAUUGACAAAGCAAGAGAGAUUUAUCCAUGGUUCAAGUGUAUCUCAACAAACUGUCCAUGCUUUCUAUCAGUUUCAAUAUGGGAGCCAUUAGACCCAUGCUUAAAAAGCUAAUGCCAACUUAACACCCUUCCUGUUCUUGACCCCAGUCCUCAAGAGUUCAUGAGGGGUAGCAGUUGCCAUGACUGUGUAAUGCAGGCAGAUACACAUUUAGAACACUUUUCUGAGCAGCAAACAACUUCUGGUUCUUUCUUACUGUUGCCCACAAAGAAGUUUUUAAAGAAGAAUGAACUGAGGCUUCUGAGAGGCCUGGGUGAUUAUGAGUUCUGUGAUCUAUAGCAACAAUAAAUGCAGGAUGGCCUCCAAUGAGAUACUUAGCUAGUUGUAGUACUGGCAUUCAAAACUUCAGUAUCCUGAAGUCAGUCUUCAAGGGUGAUGUAUGUUAUAAGCUACUACAUAAAGGUUACAUGUGAUUGCAUUUAAUUAUUUCAAGGAGGAAAGUCAAAUUUUAAAGUAUCAUUUUUGGAGGAUGUUUAUGUCUGCCUGGCCAUGAUGUCAUCAGGAAUUUUGCUUUGUUGGAUCAGUUAGGUCACUACAGAGGGAAAAUUGCUGAACUUGCACUCUGCUUGUUUUGCUGUGCAAGCAUUCAAUAUUUCAUAUGAUAGCUUUAAUAAAUUUCACUCCUCUCUUUAGAGGGACAAGCCAAAUAAAGAAACAUG